GAGGAUGUUUACCUUGGUCACAGGGGAUGGGCCAUUACCAUUGGGUACUCUCCCUUUUCGAAACGUUUUGAAAGACAAUGCAACCGUCCCAAUGGAAUAUUAUUGAAGCCCUGGUUGAAAAAGCCCCUAAAGAUUUAUGUUAUACAAUGUUUGACAUGUUUGAACGAACUUAAAUAUAUUUUUUUUGCUCAUUCCUGACGACAAGUCAGACACACCCGGUACAUUUUCACUAGCAUUUGGAGCGCGCUAACACUAUUGGGACAUAAAUUAUUAACUUUUUUGAACAAAACUACAUUUGUUAUGGACCUGGGAAUCCUAGAAGUGCCUUCUGAUAAAGAUAAUCAAAGUCUUGUUCCAUCGCUGCAACUCCCGUACGGCCUCAGGGGAGGCGAAGGUCGAGACAAAACCCAGGCAACCCGACUGCUUCUUGACACAAUGCAUGCAUUUGUCUAGUUUUGCAUGGGAACGCAAUUCAAGGGCAGAAUAAUUGUAUUUAUUUAUUACCCCCUUUUCAUCAUAUCCAAUAGUCUUGUUCCAUCGCUGCAACUCCCGUACGGCCUCAGGAGAGGCGAAGGUCGAGACAAAACCCAGGCAACCCGACUGCUUCUUGACACAAUGCAUCCAUAACCCGGAAC
rnacentral:lncRNA from 1 species